rnacentral:lncRNA from 1 species
AGAUGGAAUGGAUAUGACUGAUUGGGAAAUAUAUGCAGCUGAAGAAUAUGAAAUCUUAAUAGCAGAAGAAGGCAUAGGUUUGCAAUCAGAUCAUUACUCUUUGGAUGAAGCAGAUCAGGAACUAGAUGAAUAUUCUCAGAGUUUGGGAAAAUUUAAUUUAUCAGCCAUACUUCACAGUAGAUCCAAAAAUUUUAUGGAUAUCGACGAUGAAGACUAUGAUUAUGCAGAGUCGGAUAAUGACUAUCCAUACUAACAAAAACAUAUAAACUGUAACAUUUAAAAAAAAUUCUUUCAAAUGUACAUAUUUACACAAAAUAUAUCAUAUCCCAAACUGUGAUCAUAAAAUAUAGUUAUGUUGUAAUAAAAUUAUUUGUGGAAAUAAUCAGUUUUAGGUAAAUAUAACCAUAUUUCAGUAAAAGUUACAUUCACCUAGACUGCUAUCUAGUCACUUAAAGGCUUUUUUUAAAGUAAUUAUUGUGCAAAAAGAGAAAAAGGCUUUGUAUCACAGAACAGCAUGUGUGCCUUAAAACUUUAUUAAUUUUAUUAUAAUUUAUAUUCAUAACUGAUGAUUUUUUUUAAUAAAUUGUUACAGAUAUGUAUUGACAUCACAGUUUUAUUUUGAUUAUUGUAGUGUGCCAAAUGGUUAAUUAUUUCUCUUUUUUUAAUCAGUUUAUACUUUUAAUAAUUGAGCUUGGUAUUGAAAAUGCUAAUUUAAUUGUUAUAUAUUUAAUUUUAAUGAAGAUAAAAGAUAAUAUUCAUUUUACUGUUAUUUUUGCACUGGGAAAAUUAGAGGUGGCCUUUUGUUAUGAUGGCAUUUCUAAAGUGGAUUUGCACUCAAAACAAAAUUUUAAACAGCAAAUAUUUUAACAGUCAUUCUUAUACGAAGAUAACGAAUUUGGUCACCUCGGAAAUUAAUUUUAAUCAAAACGUUCUUGUAAAGUGCAAAUUGUUUUCUAUUUUAUUCCAUCAUAACUCCAUGUCGAUAUCUCUCAGGUUUAUCAUCUCACAGAUUUACAGAUUGUAUGUAGAGAAAUUUAAUUUUAAGUAAUUACCAAAAUAAUAUUUGGAACUACUUAAUAUCUAUUUUAAAAAUAUUCACCAAAAUUAUCUUAAAACACUAAUAAAAGAAAAAAUCAGUAAAUAUUCAACAGAAACUAGUAUCGGCAAUAAAAUUUAUAUAUGCUAAGUGCCUUUUUGUAUUUAUAGAUUUUCUUUGUAAGCAGAAAAUAAAUUUGGA